ACCAAUAUGAUUAAAAAAAAAAGCCUGAACACUUCUCUGUCUUUAGCGCAGUUCUAAUCACGGUCGGCAGGGGGCGCUGUUGGGUCACUGG